GAUGAACGCUGGCGGCGUGCCUAAUACAUGCAAGUCGAGCGAACAGACGAGGAGCUUGCUCCUCUGACGUUAGCGGCGGACGGGUGAGUAACACGUGGAUAACCUACCUAUAAGACUGGGAUAACUUCGGGAAACCGGAGCUAAUACCGGAUAAUAUAUUGAACCGCAUGGUUCAAUAGUUAAAGACGGUUUUGCUGUCACUUAUAGAUGGAUCCGCGCCGCAUUAGCUAGUUGGUAAGGUAACGGCUUACCAAGGCAACGAUGCGUAGCCGACCUGGGAGGGUGAUCGGCCACACUGGGAAUGAGAAAAGGUCCAGAAUCCUAAGGGAGGCAGCAGUAGGGAAUCUUCCGCAAAGGGCGAAAGCCUGACGAAGCAACGACGCGUGAGUGAUGAAGGUCUUCGGAUCGUAAAACUCUGUUAUUAGGGAAGAACAAAUGUGUAAGUAACUAUGCACGUAUUGACGGUACCUAAUCAGAAAGCCACGGCUAAAUACGUG
rnacentral:rRNA from 1 species